rnacentral:rRNA from 1 species
UUAAGCGACUAAGCGUACACGGUGGAUGCCCUGGCAGUCAGAGGCGAUGAAGGACGUGCUAAUCUGCGAUAAGCGUCGGUGAGGUGAUAUGAACCGUUAUAACCGGCGAUUUCCGAAUGGGGAAACCCAGUGUGAUUCGUCACACUAUCAUUAACUGAAUCCAUAGGUUAAUGAGGCGAACCGGGGGAACUGAAACAUCUAAGUACCCCGAGGAAAAGAAAUCAACCGAGAUUCCCCCAGUAGCGGCGAGCGAACGGGGAGGAGCCCAGAGCCUGAAUCAGUGUGUGUGUUAGUGGAAGCGUCUGGAAAGGCGUGCGAUACAGGGUGACAGCCCCGUACACAAAAAUGCACAUAUUGUGAGCUCGAUGAGUAGGGCGGGACACGUGGUAUCCUGUCUGAAUAUGGGGGGACCAUCCUCCAAGGCUAAAUACUCCUGACUGACCGAUAGUGAACCAGUACCGUGAGGGAAAGGCGAAAAGAACCCCGGCGAGGGGAGUGAAAAAGAACCUGAAACCGUGUACGUACAAGCAGUGGGAGCCUCUUAAUGGGGUGACUGCGUACCUUUUGUAUAAUGGGUCAGCGACUUAUAUUCUGUAGCAAGGUUAACCGAAUAGGGGAGCCGAAGGGAAACCGAGUCUUAACUGGGCGUUAAGUUGCAGGGUAUAGACCCGAAACCCGGUGAUCUAGCCAUGGGCAGGUUGAAGGUUGGGUAACACUAACUGGAGGACCGAACCGACUAAUGUUGGAAAAUUAGCGGAUGACUUGUGGCUGGGGGUGAAAGGCCAAUCAAACCGGGAGAUAGCUGGUUCUCCCCGAAAGCUAUUUAGGUAGCGCCUCGUGAAUUCAUCUCCGGGGGUAGAGCACUGUUUCGGCAAGGGGGUCAUCCCGACUUACCAACCCGAUGCAAACUGCGAAUACCGGAGAAUGUUAUCACGGGAGACACACGGCGGGUGCUAACGUCCGUCGUGAAGAGGGAAACAACCCAGACCGCCAGCUAAGGUCCCAAAGUCAUGGUUAAGUGGGAAACGAUGUGGGAAGGCCCAGACAGCCAGGAUGUUGGCUUAGAAGCAGCCAUCAUUUAAAGAAAGCGUAAUAGCUCACUGGUCGAGUCGGCCUGCGCGGAAGAUGUAACGGGGCUAAACCAUGCACCGAAGCUGCGGCAGCGACACUAUGUGUUGUUGGGUAGGGGAGCGUUCUGUAAGCCUGUGAAGGUGGCCUGUGAGGGUUGCUGGAGGUAUCAGAAGUGCGAAUGCUGACAUAAGUAACGAUAAAGCGGGUGAAAAGCCCGCUCGCCGGAAGACCAAGGGUUCCUGUCCAACGUUAAUCGGGGCAGGGUGAGUCGACCCCUAAGGCGAGGCCGAAAGGCGUAGUCGAUGGGAAACAGGUUAAUAUUCCUGUACUUGGUGUUACUGCGAAGGGGGGACGGAGAAGGCUAUGUUGGCCGGGCGACGGACGUCCCGGUUUAAGCGUGUAGGCUGGUUUUCCAGGCAAAUCCGGAAAACAAGGCUGAGGCGUGAUGACGAGGCACUACGGUGCUGAAGGACAAAUGCCCUGCUUCCAGGAAAAGCCUCUAAGCAUCAGGUAACAUCAAAUCGUACCCCAAACCGACACAGGUGGUCAGGUAGAGAAUACCAAGGCGCUUGAGAGAACUCGGGUGAAGGAACUAGGCAAAAUGGUGCCGUAACUUCGGGAGAAGGCACGCUGAUAUGUAGGUGAAGCGACUUGCUCGUGGAGCUGAAAUCAGUCGAAGAUACCAGCUGGCUGCAACUGUUUAUUAAAAACACAGCACUGUGCAAACACGAAAGUGGACGUAUACGGUGUGACGCCUGCCCGGUGCCGGAAGGUUAAUUGAUGGGGUUAGCGGCAACGCGAAGCUCUUGAUCGAAGCCCCAGUAAACGGCGGCCGUAACUAUAACGGUCCUAAGGUAGCGAAAUUCCUUGUCGGGUAAGUUCCGACCUGCACGAAUGGCGUAAUGAUGGCCAGGCUGUCUCCACCCGAGACUCAGUGAAAUUGAACUCGCUGUGAAGAUGCAGUGUACCCGCGGCUAGACGGAAAGACCCCGUGAACCUUUACUAUAGCUUGACACUGAACAUUGAGCCUUGAUGUGUAGGAUAGGUGGGAGGCUUUGAAGUGUGGACGCCAGUCUGCAUGGAGCCGGCCUUGAAAUACCACCCUUUAAUGUUUGAUGUUCUAACGUGGGCCCCUUACCGGGGUUGCGGACAGUGUCUGGUGGGUAGUUUGACUGGGGCGGUCUCCUCCUAAAGAGUAACGGAGGAGCACGAAGGUUGGCUAAUCCUGGUCGGACAUCAGGAGGUUAGUGCAAUGGCAUAAGCCAGCUUGACUGCGAGCGUGACGGCGCGAGCAGGUGCGAAAGCAGGUCAUAGUGAUCCGGUGGUUCUGAAUGGAAGGGCCAUCGCUCAACGGAUAAAAGGUACUCCGGGGAUAACAGGCUGAUACCGCCCAAGAGUUCAUAUCGACGGCGGUGUUUGGCACCUCGAUGUCGGCUCAUCACAUCCUGGGGCUGAAGUAGGUCCCAAGGGUAUGGCUGUUCGCCAUUUAAAGUGGUACGCGAGCUGGGUUUAGAACGUCGUGAGACAGUUCGGUCCCUAUCUGCCGUGGGCGCUGGAGAACUGAGGGGGGCUGCUCCUAGUACGAGAGGACCGGAGUGGACGCAUCACUGGUGUUCGGGUUGUCAUGCCAAUGGCACUGCCCGGUAGCUAAAUGCGGAAGAGAUAAGUGCUGAAAGCAUCUAAGCACGAAACUUGCCCCGAGAUGAGUUCUCCCUGACCCUUUAAGGGUCCUGAAGGAACGUUGAAGACGACGACGUUGAUAGGCCGGGUGUGUAAGCGCAGCGAUGCGUUGAGCUAACCGGUACUAAUGAACCGUGAGGCUUAACCUU